CCAUUCGGUCCUCCUUUUGUUAACGCUCUGGCAUCAUGUCUACGCCAGCUCCCGCGCAAUCCGGCGCCAUCGCGCUUUGGGCGAGCAUGGCCAUGGGGAGUAGAGAGGUGGAAACCGAGCUGACGCCUGCCUGACCCUGGCGAUGGUGGCGCGCGCCGGGAAGGACUGAUUGGAGAAUGGCGCCAAAUGGGUCACGGAUGGCGAGGGGGCACAGGAGCUCUCGAUGUGACCUGGCGCUGUGGAUGUGAUGCACAGCAGCUUGAGUGGGACUGCUCCGCUGUCCUCAUGAGAGAACGCUUUUUCUGAAGAUGGGAGGUGGCUAAUGAAAGAAGGAAUUGUGUUCUCGGUGAUGCCUGGAAGAGAUGCGUGACGUUGGAAGAUGAUUACGAAAUACAGGAAAGGUAAUUGGAGGAGUCUAGCCAGAAGGCCAGAAGCUUGGGACAUUGUCUUCAUCACUGUUAGCCACAUGCCUCUCUUGUGGGGGCAGUAACUUCGACAGGAGCUCUAGGGGUCCAGGAGACAUGAUCUAACGCCUACCAUCCCAUGAAUGAAAUCAAAGGAUGUUUUUUGUAAGAGUAACACUUACAGAAAUAUUCAUUAAUUUGAAGAUUUAUAUAAGGCCUGGUGACCUCCGUUAAUUCCUGGGACCCACAGUGUGGAAGAAGAGACCUGACUCCUGAAAGUUGUCUUCUGACCACAUAUACACAAUAUGUAAAUAAAUGUAAUUAAAAAAUCAAAAUAGUAAAACUGAAA
rnacentral:lncRNA from 1 species